rnacentral:sRNA from 1 species
UAUGUGUUCCAAGCCUAUUUGGUCAAAUUCUACCUUUUGAGUUGGCUCAAGAAAGUGAAAGAUGAAGGAGAUUCUGAGGUUAGGUUGUAGCAGUUGGUCUGAACUGCUUCAUGUCCUCCUAUCGAGCAUUUCUAUGUACGGAUGGGUAUUAGCCUAUUAGGUGCUGCAGCAGUUGUGGUUGUAAGAACAAAUGUGAUGUGAGAUGAUCAGUCAAUUUGCUGCUGCAUUUUGAGCCUCU